GAGACCCACUCAACAAUGCAAUUUUAGGAGUAGGAGUACCAAAUCCAACACAAGGAACAACCGAGUCUGUUACAAUAGUGGAGGGGUUUUGAGGUGGAAAAUGGAAGGAUACAAAGGCUAGUAGGUUCUACUAGCUUCUAGACAAGUAGAAGAAGAGGGAGAGUAAAGAUCGACAAGGAACCAAGCCCGGUUCCAGGUCGCCGCCGCCGCCGUCGCCGCCGAGAAGCCCCUCAACCGGUUCUGUUGUUCUCUGUUCGAUCUCCUCUCUGGUGCUGCUCCUGCUGUUUAUAUGUGCUCCUGAUUUGCUUGCUUGGGCCUUGCUUUGAAAGUGGUUGACAGCCCACAGGCAGCCCAUUUGGGUUCCUAACAAUCUCCUCUCCUUAAAUUUCGGCUUGUCCCCAAGCCGAUGCAAAGUUUCACCAGAGCCACCGGGGUCCCACUGUUUAUGUAGAUUCUUGAUAGGAACUGAACACCACAUGAUAACAUUAAGGAAAUUGUCAGAAAUGUGCUCCUCUGCAGAAUAAAGGUCAAGAAUAUGUGUCCCAGAUUGAAGUGAUCUUGAUAGCUGACAAACAAUUGUGAACUUAGCAUCAACACGAUCAUUCUUCCAAUCAUUUCAGAUAUCCAUGUCUUGAGCUUGUUCCUGAUCAGUAAGUGCACAAUUAUUGUUUUGUGAUACUGAUUCAGUUUACUGCAACAGACCAUGGCAAAACUUGAAGUCUUGUACUUGUCAGCAAGAGCAAUACAUGAGGAUGGUAAUGAUCCUGAAGUCCACUUUUCUGUAUUAAUUACAGACCAAUGUAGGUCCAGCAUGCUGGUAAAAAUCAUCACUGAAUGCUCCAGUAAGCUCAUUGUUUCUUGUAUGAUUUUUCUUGUAUCACUAUUCCACUCCAUGCUUGUGUCAAAACUGAAAGCAGCAUGUCGAUCACACAAAAUUGUAAUGCAGGCAUUUGUUGAUUGUGAAAUUGGGAACUUAAGGACAUCUCUGUGUAAACAUAUACCUAUUUUCGAAAAGCACACCUCAAGAUCAAUAGUAUUACCAGAGUAUUUUUCACUUAAGCUGCCAAUGAGCACCCUCAAUAAAAACUCCAGUACUUGUACUUCAAAUUUAGGAGGAUUGAUGUUCCUUGCCAGUAACCAGAAGAGCACACUGACUUGCAACUCAAAGAGCUCCCUGCCAACAACGAAUUUCUUGGCUUCUUUUGGAGACAAGCAUUUCAAUAGUAGUCAAGUGCACAUCUAAUAGUUCUGAGAAUGAGUUGAAUAUUGUUUCUGUUGUCGCAGAGCCUGAUUUCUUUGGAUUACAUCCUUCAGGGAUUGUAACAUCAAUAAAUAUCAUAGUGGAUUUCCCUUGGAUGUCAUCCAGCUCACUACUGAUGCUUGGUACAUGUCUCAUUGAUUUGAUCAUCACACUCCAAAAAAUCUUAUGCACUGCAACAACAAGAUUCCAAUCAAUGUGUACUCCAUCUAUUGUAAACACAAGGCCAAAUUUUGAUGGAUACGUUAGAGGCAUUGGCUGAGUUGGGGGUGGCCAUGGUGGCAUCCAGUGUUCCACCGUCCCACAGAAAUUGAAUCCCGGCCAUGGCGAAGGCCUUAAGUCUCUACCUCUAAUCACUCCAUCUGACCAAGGAGGUGGCCAUGAGUUAACAUCAAGAGCGUUUGUAGCCAACAUGUCAUGCCCAAGGAACUGCACCGAAUACUUAAUGGGUAUUGGUGUGUUCCACUUGAUGUUAGCCAUCAUACUUGAUGAGAAAAAGUCCAUGAACUGAACGGAGGUCGGAACAUCCUUGAAUGCAUCUGUCCAGGUCUGGAACACAACCAUAGCUUGACCGGUGUCACCAAUGGCAUCGAGGACAACCGUCAAACACUUGGUGUGCAUCACCUUGGAAUGGUCAGAGGUGUCGCUGUACGUGGCAUCAAUAGCUUCCUGAGCAGCUACCAACUCCAUAGAGACAGUGGCUGUGCUAGCGUAGGUCACCUCCGCAACCAUGGUGAGAUUGGACUCGGUGUCGGGGAUGGAGCAUUUCAUCGAACACAUGGUGGGCGUGACCUCAAGAGAGUCCUUGGCGAUGAUGUAAGGGUCAUGAAUCUUGUCCUCACCACCCCCAAGCUCCAGGAUGAUCGUUGGAGUAGACCCCUCGUCGUCGUAGAUGGAUCUCGCUGUUCUGCUCGGGCUGCUGCCAUUAGGGCACUCUGUCGAACAGGUGGUGAGCGUCACCUUGGACUGCUCAUCCCCAACCAAAAACUGUAGGUCUUCAGCAUUCUUCUGGAUUUCAGGCAUCCACAAUUCUACCGCCGCCUUGAGAGACUGGUAUUCAGCUCUCCUCUGAUCUGCCUCCACCUGCCUCCGUUCAAACUCCUCCAUCCGCCUCAAAAUCAAAUCCAACUUAUCCUCACCUUCCAUGGAUGCUUGCUUAGUGAAUUUGGUGGGGCUUGGUGGCUCUGAUACCAGAUUUGUUAGAAAACCCACUCAACAAUGCAAUUUCAGGAGUAUGAGUACCAAAUCCAACACAAGGAACAACCAAGUCUGUUACAAUAGUGGAGGGGUUUUGAGGUGGAAAAUGGAAGGAUACAAAAGCGUGAUACCAAGCCCGGUUCCAGGUCGCCGCCGCCGCCGUCGCCGCCGAGAAGCCCCUCAACCGGUUCUGUUGUUCUCUGUUCGAUCUCCUCUCUGAUGCUGCUCCUGCUGUUUAUAUGUG
rnacentral:lncRNA from 1 species